rnacentral:rRNA from 1 species
AUUGAACGCUGGCGGCAUGCCUUACGCAUGCAAGUCGAACGGCAGCACGGGGCAACCUGGUGGCGAGUGGCGAACGGGUGAGUAAUGCAUCGGAACGUACCUUUCAGUGGGGGAUAACGUAGCGAAAGUUACGCUAAUACCGCAUAUUCUGUGAGCAGGAAAGCAGGGGAUCGCAAGACCUUGCGCUGAUUGAGCGGCCGAUGUAAGAUUAGCUAGUUGGUGAGGUAAAGGAUCACCAAGGAGACGAUCUUUAGCGGGUCUGAGAGGAUGAUCCGGCAACCGUGAACUGAGACACGUGCCAGACUCCUACGGGUGGCAGCAUCGGGGAAUUGUGGACAAGGGGGGCAACCCUGAUCCAGCCAUGCAGCGUGAGUGAAGAAGGCCUUCGGGUUGUAAAGCUCUUUCGGCCGGGAAGAAAUCGCACGGGCUAAUACCCUGUGUGGAUGACGGUACCGGAAUAAGAAGCACCGGCUAACUACGUGCCAGCAGCCGCGGUAACAC